rnacentral:rRNA from 1 species
UUGUCUCAAAGAUUAAGCCAUGCAUGUCUCAGUACAAGCCAAAUUAAGGUGAAACCGCGAAAGGCUCAUUAAAUCAGUUAUGGUUCCUUAGAUCGUACCCACAUUUACUUGGAUAACUGUGGUAAUUCUAGAGCUAAUACAUGCAAACAGAGGUCCGACCGGAGACGGAAGGAGCGCUUUUAUUAGAUCAAAACCAAUCGGUGGCGGGUUCGCGCUCGUCAUCGUACAAUUUGGUGACUCUGAAUAACUUUACGCUGAUCGCAUGGUCUCGCACCGGCGACGCAUCUUUCAAAUGUCUGCCUUAUCAACUGUCGAUGGUAGGUUCUGCGCCUACCAUGGUUGUAACGGGUAACGGGGAAUCAGGGUUCGAUUCCGGAGAGGGAGCCUGAGAAACGGCUACCACAUCCAAGGAAGGCAGCAGGCGCGCAAAUUACCCACUCCCGGCACGGGGAGGUAGUGACGAAAAAUAACGAUACGGGACUCUUCCGAGGCCCCGUAAUCGGAAUGAGUACACUCUAAACCCUUUAACGAGGAUCAAUUGGAGGGCAAGUCUGGUGCCAGCAGCCGCGGUAAUUCCAGCUCCAAUAGCGUAUAUUAAAGUUGUUGCGGUU